UACGUAGGGUGCAAGCGUUAAUCGGAAUUACUGGGCGUAAAGCGUGCGCAGGCGGUUGGGCAAGACAGAUGUGAAAUCCCCGGGCUCAACCUGGGAAUGGCAUUUGUGACUGUACGGCUAGAGUGUGUCAGAGGGGGGUAGAAUUCCACGUGUAGCAGUGAAAUGCGUAGAGAUGUGGAGGAAUACCGAUGGCGAAGGCAGCCCCCUGGGAUAACACUGACGCUCAUGCACGAAAGCGUGGGGAGCAAACAGG
rnacentral:rRNA from 1 species